UUUCUUUACUUCUUCUUUCUCCUUCUUCCUUGCCAUUUGACUUUCAUGUGGUUGUGUAUUUGUCGUACAAUUUUUGCACAGGCUAUUUUCUCCUUGUGGCUGCUCCUGAACCGGUGAAGCAGUCAUUUGCUAAUGCAGUCGUUGGGCUCCUAGCCCCGUUGAUAUUUACCAUUUUAACACUUCGCUUCUCUUUUUUACAGUUGCCCUUUUAUUGAAUUUUUUUGUUCUGCUAUUUUCUGGAGGUUGUAUUGGUAAUGCGGUGUUGGAGAAGGUGGGCGAAGUGACUUUGUGCUCAGCAGCCGUACAUUUCGCCCACUGUUUCUUUCUGUUCUAUCCCGAGGAUUAGGUACAGAUUUUGAAAAUUCCCUCCACCACCCUCAUGGGAUUUUCUAAGUUCUGUUUUCUCUUUUGAAGGUCGUCUCUAUAUGGAUUAGAGGCUUUAGAGGCAAGGCUAGCUGAGAUGUGUAUUUGAGGGGGCAACGACGAUAGAAACUAAAGGAGUUUACUUUUUUGGGUCAAGGUGAAGACCCUCUUGAUCUCAAGAAAUGUUUUAUUGAUAUUAAUAAUCGUCAAGCCAGAGAAGACUCUGCUAUUAGGCAAGGUGAGUUGGUGGCUGAAAGAUUUGGGAUUGGUGUUACAGCUGAAGCUCAGAGCAUUUUUUAUGCUCUGUCCAAAACGCUUCCAGUGCACUGGGACAAGACUACUAUAGUUGUGAUGAAUGAAGUGCGCGUUAGUAGCCCAUAUCUUCCUGAGUCCGUCCUUGGAGGAACUCCAACUGCUAAUGAGCGAGUGCAGAAAGUGCUUGAGUUUGAGAGGAGAGAUUACAAACUCACUAUGCUGGUCAAUGACUAUGUUACUCUGUCAUGCAUUGAGGGUGAAUUGGUGCCGUCGUGUUCGGAUUACUAAGGGAAUGGCUUCUCACUCUCUGAGCAUCAAGUUCUUUUUGGAUUGUUACCAAGUUUUGAUGGAGAAGUUUCCCUCAUGAAGUUGUGAGGCAUGCUCAAGGAUUCCAUAAUGUGGAAGGGGAUAAGAACUAUAAAGCAUAUACGUCUCCAGAAUAUUUCGACGCACACCUUACUCCACUUGGCUGGCAACAGGUUGAUAAUUUGCGCAAGCAUGUACAUACAAGUGGGCUUUUGAACAGGAUUGAAUUAGUUGUCACAUCUCCAUUGCUAAGGACUAUGCAAACUGUUGUUGGGGUAUUUGGUGGUGAUGGCAUACAGACAGGACGGAUAUCUUGCCACUCAUGUUGGCAAAUGCAGGAAAUAGUCGGCAUGCUGCAAUUUCAAGCCUUAAUUGUCCUCCUAUUGUUGCAUUAGAACUUUGUCAAGAGCAUUUGGUAGGUCCUUUGAAGGUUAUGUGUGCACUUUUGAUUUUAAACGUGAACAUUCUUGUGGCUGUGGAUAGCAUUCUGAUUUUCUUGGUUUCAAGUCGGGUAGAAAGGAACCUUUGAUUUAAUUACUAAGCUCAAAUGCUUUAUCCAGUUCAAGGGAAUUAUUUGGAACUCUUGAAUAUUUCUUUUAGAACUAAAAUAUUAUGACUACUUCCACUUAAAUCCAGUGAAUUUUCCAUUUUCC